AAAAGAGCAGAAAUGAACCCGAGCAGAGGGAGCUGCCCAGCCUGGCUGAGCAGGCUGAGGCUGUCCAUGGCUGGCUCUGCCCACCCACAGAGUGUGUGCAGGUCAGACACAGCUCUGAAGAGACAAAUUGUCUGUGCUCUUCAACAGAAAACAAAAGUGGAGCUUCGAGCUGAACUGGCGCUAUUUAAUCUUGCAUAGCCCACAAACAAAAACCUAAGCAGAGGACCAAGUGAAUCAACAAAAGGUUCUGUAGUUUCCAAGAGGAACAGUAAUUCCAGAGUGGAAAAUUAUUACUAUUCCAUCCCUUUACAGACCAGUGGGUAAAUUUUCUCAUGUUUGAGUACUUGAAUUAACAAUAAGUGACACUCUGGUUUGGAUCUUGACUUCCAGCUGCAACUGCCAUGGAGUUCACACUCUUCUUCCCACUGACUGCACUGGUGGAAAAAAAGUGCUUCUUGGGAAAAUAAUAAAAUGACCCAGCUUCCAACAAUCUUUGCAAAACAAACAUUGAGAAAAGUAUUUAAGAUAGAUCGAAACAUUUGGGUUUGACUUUUAUGGGGUUGCUUCUACCACAUAUUUAUCUUACAAAACUAUUUUGAAGUGGAUUGCUAAAGGAAAACAAAACUGGCUUUGUUCUGAAAAUGCUUAAACAGCCUCUCUUAGAUAGAGGCUUGCUGGACUUUAUAAAGGUUUUGCCCUGAAGUGAAAUCUAAGUAAAAUCCAUCAUUCAGAAGCUGUUUUGCAUUUCAGUGGACUCAGGUUUUCUGGUGUAAAAUCUUUCCAGCUUUCUUUGGCCAGCCCUAUUGAAAGCUGUCAGUGGUGAUACCUGAUGCCAGCAGUGGCCUUGUGAGGCUGUGAAGGGAGCUCUAAGAAGUGCUUAUCAAUGCAUUACCACUGCUUCAGAAAAAGAUUUACUGCUUUACCUUCAACACAGUAAUGGGGACAUCUUGCUGUGUCAACAUGGUAUGUUUUGUUCAUUUAACACCAUUUGCUAAAGAAAAGCAAUUCUGAAUUCUGCAAGUGGAGUAAUUCUUAAGUCUUUUCACCCUUGAGCAGGCUUGCAGUGGACAUAACAGGUUUUUUCCCUCCUAUUGUUUUCCAAGCUGCAGUCACAAGCGGUACCCAAGCAAUAUUUCCAAAGGCUGGGUUGGGGUCUGGAGCAGUGAGUCUCAUUUCCAGUGGGUCUCAAGGCAGGUGUUAACACUGGGAUAUUGCCCAUGUCCCAGCACAUUACAGCUCUGUGCUGUAUGGGGUGGGGUUGUUUUUUAAAAAAAGACUCUGCUUAUGUGUUUCUUGAAAACUGUGAAUUGUUUCUCAGUUUGUAGUGAUAACUAUCCUUCCCUCUCCCUCUGCUUUUAAUCCUUGAACAUGUAGAUGUAAAUUAUUGAUUUUGCAGCAUCUUAAAACAAAACUCUUCAUUUCAUGACAGUGCAGCACACCUCUCCUGUGGGGCAAAAUCUGCAGAACCACCAUUCCACAGUGAUCCAAGAGAGGCCUGAUUUUUCCCUGAUAACAGGACUUGUUCUAACAUUUUUUAGCUCUUUUAAGGUUGGGGGUUUUUUCAUUAAAUAUGGAUAUUUUAUCAACCUCUUCCCUUUUUUAAUAUGUAUUAAAGUUUUGAAUGAAAAUAAUAAUUUCUUAGAAAACACCCAGAGAAUUAUUGAGGCGAAUGGCAAAACCAAUAAAGGCAGUGUGCUAGGGAGCUCUAGUAAAUAAGCAUCUUAUAAGCAUGAUGAUCAGUGGAGGAAGGUUUGGGAUCACUGCCUCUAAUUUCAGCCCCUGUGUGUUCCCUGUCCAACAGACUCACCUUCUGUCAUUACUGAGAAAUGGUUGUGCCAUCAUCAUUUUUUCUUCUGCAGGUUUCUCCUAUUCCUGGAGCCUGCUUGGCUUCACACCUCCCAGUGUGUGCACACCACAUAAAACAAGCUUGGCACCGUGAGUGCAACUCCAGAC